rnacentral:lncRNA from 8 species
UACCUCAAACAGAGAUCUGCAGCUGGUCUCAAUAAGGAUGACAUUGUCCAACAAUCAGACCUGGAGGUAACGCAAGGACAUCAGUCCCCCCUUCU